AUGAACUCGAACAAACUCCCGGGGCCUGAAAGGCAGCUGGGGAAGAGGGGUCAGCAGGAGGGCCGGAUCCUGGCGCUCCCGUGCCAGGCGGCACUGCCCGGCCCCUCCUGGCAUCUUGGCCAGGACAAGGUGGCCGGGAAGGGAAUGCCCAGCGUAAAGCAGCCUGAAGCUGGGGAUUUUGCCCAAAAUGCUGAUUAUGGAUGGCUGCUGGCAGGUGACGGCAGGAUUAAUGCGCUUUUAAAGCAGCGGCGAGUUAACCGAGAAAUCAAUCCUUGGCACGGCCUGGCCCGUGGUCCCUGCACCUGGGCAGCGGGAUCCUUUCCCAGCUCCUCUCCAGGACUUGGGAAGCGCCGGGGCUUGGCGGCGGCGCAGGGCGCUGGGCGCUGGCCAAGCUGGCACGGCGCGGCGCGACCGCGGGGGAUGCCUGCCCGGGGCCGACGUGACGGAUGGCGAGCCCGGCCGCGCGCCCGCUGCAAGCUGGGACCCGGCAGCGGGAUGCCCGUGGGCACCCUCUGCAUCCCCAUCCCUCCGCCUUCCCUCCCCGAGGGAGCUCAGGCUCUUGCUGGUGCUAAUUUGGGGCAUCCAAACCCUCCAAAAUGCUCUGGUACCCGAACCCCACAAAGGUUUGGCGCUGGGCACCACCCCGCCGUGAUGCUGUGCACCCCUCAGCACUGGCUCGGUGCCGGACCCCCCCGGCCACAUUGUGGGGACGUCACCGGCGAUGCCACGCGGCGCUGGCCCUACCCAACAAAGCCGAGCAGCCGUCGAGGCCCCAGCUGCUCCCCGACGCCUUUGGGCAGAGCGCGGGCUCCUCCGCCCUGCCCCGACCUGCCUGGCGCACCCCGGGGUGCCGCGGGAGAAAUCCCCGCCCCGCGGGUCCCCAAGGUGCAAAUUGCACCCUCGUGCUGCUCACAUACCCGGGGAACUGCCCUUACCCCCCCCCCCAACAGCCUGGGCACAGGGAUGGGGGACACAGAUACCCCUUGCCCCCCCGAGUGCUCAGCCCCCUCGGCGGUGCUCAGCACCACUCAGGCGCGCCGUCACGUCCAUCCCCGUGCAGGAAGAGCCGCAGCACGGACGGGGGCGGCAGGCAGCGAGCCAGCCUUGCACGGAGCUGUUUUGCCUCCCCCCCAGCCCUCCUUCUCCCCCGCCAACAAGGGACCCUGUUGCAGCCGCCAUCCCCGUCCCCGCGGCUCUGUUUGUCCCAAUCCCCGUCCCCGCAGCUCUGCUCCUCCCUGGGAGCCGCGCGGUGGCACGGGCACCAAGCCUCAGGGGCCAGGCGCGGGGAAGGCUGGCACGGGCGGUGUAGGGCAGGGAAGGCAGACGAGCAGGCAGGGCAAGCUGUCCCUGUGCCCAGGGCCGCCCCCAGCCAGCCCUGUCUGCAGGGACCCCUCUCCAUCACCUCACAGGCAGGGGACACUGUGCCCCUUUAUCUGCUUGCGUGCAAAACCCAGGCGAGUCGUGAGCGGAUGCCAAAUAUCACCGUGGCCGGCGCAUGAUGAGUGUCUAACGUGGAGAGGAGGGUGCCAGGCACCCAGGGACCUCCCGGCUUCCCCUUGCUGGCAGAGCCCCAGCCCGAGUGCUGGGGUCCGAGCCCCACGCACAAGUGCCUGCACCACGCUCUGCGCAGCCAUCAGCUGCACCCAGGGCCCUACAACAGGGCCUGAAUGCAGAGCUCGGAGCCCCGACCCCCCCCCCGCUGCACCCAGCUCAGGCCAGGAAAACAAAACCCUCGCACACCGCGAAUCCCUCGCCGCCACCGUGGCAUCCGCGCCGGGGCUGCCCGGCCGGCACGGCCGCUCCCCGGGGAGCGAGGGGCCGCAGCGCACGCCCUUCGCCGCGCCGUGCCAAGGGGAACCGAGGGCACGCGGCCAGCUCGGCUCUGCCCGCGCCCUGGCCACGCUGCAACGACUCCCACAAGCUAGAAAAAGCCGCCGGGUCAAGGCUGGAGGGCUCAGACUACAGCUCCCAGCAUCCUUCCCCAGCCAGCCCGGCCUCGGGGAGAAAGAAGGCAACAAACGGAGCAAUUCCCCGCUCGCUCGAAGAUGCACGGGUCAGGCUUUGUUUCUCCAGGCUCCCUGCACAAGCGUGCAUGCGGCUGCGGCGCUGGGCACGCUUUGGGCUCCUCGAGGAAGCGGCGGGGGAGAAGGGGCGAGCGGAGCUGCCGGGAAGGGUGAAUUAUCGCCGGGCGCCUCGGUGCGCAGGAGGAGGACGGCUAAUUUAUUGUGCACAGCCCCGGCCAAGUUCAAGGUGAUGUCGCGGAGGCUGGCGCAGCAGCAAGGGCCUCAUCCUGCCCGCACCAGCGCCCUACGUCCUCCUGUCCUGCUCGCGGCUGGGUUCAUAAAUUGCUCUUAA
rnacentral:lncRNA from 1 species